CUAAACUUUGAUAUAAGUAGGGUUUAUCGGUUUGCAGCAAAGCGAGAAAGGAAGCUUUUUGGCAUGUUUAGGGUUUUGAUAUUUUGAAUAUUAAGAGAUGGAAAACCUAAAGCGUUUACAUCGCGACAUACUGCGAGAGUUACCGGAUAUGUUAAUAUUCGACAUAUUUUGGAGGUUGCCAAUGACAGAUGUGGUUAGGACAUCUCUUCUAUCCAAAGGCUGGAGGAACUUUUGGACCACUUCCCCCUUUCUCAAUUUCGAUAAUCGUGCUAUGUUGUUUGGUGAUAUUAAGCUUCGGAAUUUUGUUAAUCGGGCUCUAUUAUGCUGGAAUGGGAAUAGGAUUUUGAAAUUCAGGUUUCAUACGCAUAAUCACUUUGCGAGUUCAAUGUUUAAUGAUGUUGAUUUGUGGGUGAGUUUUGCCCAAAGAAAUGGAGUUGAAGAAAUACAUUUACAUAUGUCGUGUGAUUCUACAAUAUCUAGGAGUAAUUUAGAUGGUAAGGAAGUUUACAGUGUGGCACCGUGCUUCUACUCAUGCUCAUCCCUAAAAGAGGUGUCACUCGAAUCUUGUAACUUGGAGAUUUAUGGGAAUGUGCAGUGGAAUAAUCUCAAGUGUUUGAAGCUGGAUGGAUUAAGUGCCAAUGCGGAUGUGAUUUUCACCAAAUAUUGGGUGCUACUCCUCAGUUGGAAGUCUUUUGUUUGAAAUAUUUUCACAAAGGUUGGGUUGUCAAACGCAUUGAGUCAAAUUCUUCCAAGCAUUCGACAUGCUGACCACGUCGCAAUAUCAAACUCUUGCAUCAAGGUGCUUCGAGCUAUGAAAAUGAAAUGUGCGCACUCAGCUUUUCCGAAUGUGAAAUCCUUGGAACUUAGGUGUUGUUUGCAUUACUACAAACAAGUAGUAGGUGUUCUUGAGAUGUUCUCUCAGUUGGAGAUAUUAGUUAUGAAAAACAAGAAAGAAGACGGCCACCAAGAUGACAACUGAGGUUACUAUACUGUUUAUUUCCAUUGAUCGAGAAUAAGGUAAAAUACGCAAGCAAGCUAGAAAAGAUUGGUUUCCAAUGAAAUGAAAUCAAGUCACCUGCACAAUCAGAUUCUUUGUUUUUGGUGUCGCAAAAACUGCUGGGGAUGCAGAGAUCUUCGUCUAAGUCUUACUCAGUUACGCCUUUAGUCAUAGGAACGCCUCAGGCAACUAACUGAUAGUCUUGUUUGACGGGUAAUUACUAGCUUUUGUCGUACAUUUCUUUCGAAUAUCAAUAACAACAGUAUGCUUAUUAGGGGAGGAAAGCUAGGU